GAGGAGUCCGCGGCCGAUUAGCUUGUUGGUAGGGUAACGGCCUACCAAGGCGAAGAUCGGUAGCCGGCCUGAGAGGGCACACGGCCACACUGGCACUGAAACACGGGCCAGACUCCUACGGGAGGCAGCAGUGGGGAAUCUUGCACAAUGGGGGCAACCCUGACGCAGCAACGCCGCGUGGAGGAUGAAGUCCCUUGGGACGUAAACUCCUUUCGACCCGGACGAUAAUGACGGUACGGGUGGAAGAAGCCCCGGCUAACUUCGUGCCAGCAGCCGCGGUAAUACGAGGGGGGCAAGCGUUGUUCGGAAUUAUUGGGCGUAAAGGGCGCGUAGGCGGUGCGGUAAGUCACCUGUGAAACCUCUAGGCUCAACCUAGAGCCUGCAGGCGAAACUGCCGUGCUUGAGGGUGGGAGAGGUGCGGGGAAUUCCCGGUGUAGCGGUGAAAUGCGUAGAUAUCGGGAGG
rnacentral:rRNA from 1 species